AGAGUUUGAUCCUGGCUCAGGACGAACGCUGGCGGCGUGCUUAACACAUGCAAGUCGAGCGGAAAGGCCCUUUCGGGGGUACUCGAGCGGCGAACGGGUGAGUAACACGUGAGCAACCUGCCCUGGACUUUGGGAUAACCCUCGGAAACGGGGGCUAAUACCGAAUACGACACGCCUUCGCAUGGGGUGCGUGUGGAAAGUUUUUCGGUCUGGGAUGGGCUCGCGGCCUAUCAGCUUGUUGGUGGGGUGAUGGCCUACCAAGGCGACGACGGGUAGCCGGCCUGAGAGGGCGACCGGCCACACUGGGACUGAGACACGGCCCAGACUCCUACGGGAGGCAGCAGUGGGGAAUAUUGCACAAUGGGCGGAAGCCUGAUGCAGCGACGCCGCGUGAGGGAUGACGGCCUUCGGGUUGUAAACCUCUUUCAGCAGGGACGAAGCGCAAGUGACGGUACCUGCAGAAGAAGCGCCGGCCAACUACGUGCCAGCAGCCGCGGUAAGACGUAGGGCGCGAGCGUUGUCCGGAUUUAUUGGGCGUAAAGAGCUCGUAGGCGGCUUGUCGCGUCGACUGUGAAAACCCGCGGCUCAACCGCGGGCCUGCAGCCGAUACGGGCAGGCUAGAGUUCGGUAGGGGAGACUGGAAUUCCUGGUGUAGCGGUGAAAUGCGCAGAUAUCAGGAGGAACACCGGUGGCGAAGGCGGGUCUCUGGGCCGAUACUGGCGCUGAGGAGCGAAAGCGUGGGGAGCGAACAGGAUUAGAUACCCUAGUAGUCC
rnacentral:rRNA from 1 species